rnacentral:rRNA from 1 species
AAUAUUGCGCAAGGGAGGGAACUCUGACGCAGCGACGCCGCGUGAGCGAGGAAGGUCUUCGUAUGGUAAAGCACUGUCCUUGGGGAAGAAGGUCUUCGGCCUUGCCGGUACCUAAGGAGGAAGCCACCGCUAACCACGCACCAGCAGCAGCGGUAAUACGGAGGGGGUAAGCGUUGUCCGGAAUUCUUGGGCGUAAAGGGCACGGAGGCGGUGGUUUAAGUUUGGUGUUUAAUCCCAGGGCUCAACCCUGGUACGCACUGAAAACUGGAUCACUUGAGUGCAGAAGAGGAGAGUGGAAUUCCACGUGUAGCGGUGAAAUGCGUAGAGAUGUGGGGGAACACCAGUGGCGAAGGCGACUCUCUGGUCUGUAACUGACGCUGAGGAGCGAAAGCAUGGGGAGAGAACA